ensembl:lncRNA
CUACUAAUUCAGCACAUUCAGAAAUCUGAGGGGCUGGCGGAUAGCGUAGUAGUUGGGUUUGUGUGUUCCACUUCCUAGCCUUGGUUUGCCGGUUCAGAUCCUGGGCAUGGACCUACACACUGCUCAUCAAGCCACGCUGAGGCUGCAUCCCACAUAGAAGAACUAGAAGGACUUACAACUAGGAUAUACAACUAAGUACUGGGGUUUUGAGAAGGAAAAAAAAAAGAGGAAGAUUGGCAACAUAUGUUAGCUCAGGGCCAAUCUUCAAAAAAAGCAAAGAAAUCUGAUAAGGCAGGUGACAUCUCAGCAAAGCCAGGGAGGAGACUAAAGCACAUCAUCUUACCGUGGGAGGAUAUACAUUUCCCUGCAUCCAGAUCUGAAGGCAGGGUGUAUGCAGACGGUGAGAAUCAGCACGGGAUGGGGGCCGGCAUGGCAUGUGGGCUACGUGGGAUUCCGAAGCACUCCAGCAGCUGACCAAGGACCAGGACAGGGACUGAUGGAGCUGCAGGAGAGAAGAGUACAGGGCACUUUGAGCAGCAAGUGACAGAAAAUCAACCCACACUAGGUUUAAAACAAGAGUGAUUUGUCUGAAGAACACAGAGGCAGCUCCAAAGACCGUCAGCAGGACCCAGAGCCAUUCUGGGGUCUCAGGGACUGGAACUAGGAAUCCAAACAUUGUCAGCAUAUUUUCUCUCUCUCCCUCCCCCCAUCCCUCCUCUGCUCCACUGAGGCUUCAUUCUCUUAAUAGAAGUGGACAUUCUUUGCCCAGCAGGACAAAGUGGCCUUCAGCAAGAGUUAAAGUCACAUCCUGAAAGAUUUGCAACCAGCGAUGUCUUUUCAUCUCUGAAUCUCAGUUGGAAAGAUCCUAGGGAAUGGCUCAGACUGUCUAGGUUUGACUCUUAUGCUCACCUCUUGGACUAUCACUGUGGUUAGGGAGUGGGCUCUCUGAUGACUGAGCCUGUGUCAUGUUUCCUUCUUUGGUCCAGAGUGAGCAGGUCUGUACCUGUGGUGGCUUAGCCCAGACAUGACCACUGGUACAUUUGUUUGUGUUGGCCAGCCCUUAGGACAGGUCCCUGACAGUCACCACCUUGGUCAUUCCUGGUACCCCACUGAGGAAAAGGUAUAGGCAGUUACCAUAAGAACUCCACCCUGGGGGUAUGUGUGUGACCAGGUGUAGUCAGACUGAGUAGGUUCAAAUGUCUGUUCCACCAAUUACUAGACAAACGAUCUUUCUAUGUUUCAGUUUCCUUGUUUAUAAAAUGAAAAUAAAAAUAGUACCAACUUCAUGAAGUUGUUAAUAAGAUUAAAUGACUUAUUAUACGGAAAGCCCUUAGACCAAGCCUGGAAUAUGAAAAAUUAGCUGUCACUAAUACUAACAAAUAUGUCAGUAGAAUAGAACCAUAAAGACAACUCACUAAAUAAGGCCAUGUUUCAUGCUAUUUUCCGUGCCCUUUACAGACCAUGAGGUCUGUGAAGUUACUUUCCAUUUAUCAUCUUCUGCUCUCUGGAAGCUGUCCAGGCUUCCCAAAAGGUGCUCAGUGGGUCUCUGAAGCUACCCUGUGUCUUUCUGGGGCCUCAACCCCAGAGUGAGUGUCUUUCUCCUUUUAUGAUCCAAAAUAGUUUACUUCUCAAAUAAAUAAACUUUUAUUACAGGGUCUUUGUAAGACCUCGGAGAUAAAGCCUCACUUGAAAGCUCACAAUAGGCAAAGCUAUAUAAGCUUUGCUUGGCUGGCUCAACCUGGUCAGGUCCAUAUUUUUGAGCAACCUCCUUCUACCUGCAACAACGGUUCCUCCCACCUUUGGUGGCUUCAUGUCAAUCGGUUUGCCAUCAGACUCUUUUUUACCCAUCACAGGCUUCUAUUCCUAACAGUGCCUUUCUAAGGCUUGGAUUUACUUUCCCUUCGCUUUUUUAAAAUAAAUCUUUCUCUCUGCUUCAUUACACAAACCUCCAUUUGCUCUUAGUCCAACUCAAUUCAGCCAAUACUGUGUGCACUUCUAUUAAAUACCAAUCACUGUGCUUGGCAUGACUCAUUUUAUUUCCUCUUUCUUUUCUCUGCCUUUAAUUCUCUCUUUCUAAGUUUCCUUGAUAGAGGGAACUACAACUUUUGUAUACUUGAAAUAAAAUUCUCUUUGUUGUUGAAAAUAUAUUCAAAAAGAAAUCUUCAUAUAUCAGAACUUCGUAUGAGAGCAAAUUCCAGUUGGGGAUGGUUAUGUGUACUUGACUCUGUCUAUCUCUAUGUCUGUAGUUAGUAUAUUGAUCAUUCCAUAGCAUGAGUUCAUUAUUCACAAUUAAUCCUUUUGUUAAACUUAUAAAGUCCUGAGUUUUGAAGUAAUUUUUCAUAUGCC